CGCGUAGGCGGCCGUUUAAGUCAGAUGUGAAAGCCCACGGCUCAACCGUGGAACUGCAUUUGAAACUGGAUGGCUUGAGUACGGGAGAGGGAAGUGGAAUUCCAGGUGUAGAGGUGAAAUUCGUAGAUAUCUGGAGGAACACCAGUGGCGAAGGCGGCUUCCUGGACCGAUGCUGACGCUGAGGCGCGAAAGCGUGGGGAGCAAACA
rnacentral:rRNA from 1 species